AUUCGGUGGGCAUCUCCUUGUCAGGUCUUUGAAUCUCUCCCAUGCCUCAUAGAGUGUUUCUCCAUCUUGUUGUUUGAAAGUUUGCACCUCAGCUCUCAGCCU